rnacentral:rRNA from 1 species
CCUACGGGGGGCAGCAGUGGGGAAUAUUGGACAAUGGGGGGAACCCUGAUCCAGCCAUGCCGCGUGUGUGAAGAAGGCCCUCGGGUUGUAAAGCACUUUCAGUGAGGAAGAACGCCUGGUGGUUAAUACCCAUCAGGAAAGACAUCACUCACAGAAGAAGCACCGGCUAACUCCGUGCCAGCAGCCGCGGUAAUACGGAGGGUGCGAGCGUUAAUCGGAAUUACUGGGCGUAAAGCGCGCGUAGGUGGCUUGAUAAGCCGGUUGUGAAAGCCCCGGGCUCAACCUGGGAACGGCAUCCGGAACUGUCAAGGUAGAGUGCAGGAGAGGAAGGUAGAAUUCCCGGUGUAGCGGUGAAAUGCGUAGAGAUCGGGAGGAAUACCAGUGGCGAAGGCGGCCUUCUGGACUGACACUGACACUGAGGUGCGAAAGCGUGGGUAGCAAACAGGAUUAGAUACCCUAGUAGU